GAUGAACGCUGGCGGCGUGCCUAAUACAUGCAAGUCGAGCGAACAGAUGAGGAGCUUGCUCCUCUGACGUUAGCGGCGGACGGGUGAGUAACACGUGGAUAACCUACCUUUAAGACUGGGAUAACUUCGGGAAACCGGAGCUAAUACCGGAUAAUAUAUUUAACCGCAUGGUUCAAUAGUGAAAGGCGGUUUUUCGGUCUCUUUUAGCUGAAUCCCCGCCGUAUUAUCUAGUUGGUAAGGUAACGGCUUACCAAGGCAGCGAUGCGUAGCCGACCUGAGAGGGUGAUCGGCCACACUGGAACGGGGACACGGUCCAGACUCCUACGGGAGGGAGCAGUAUGGAAUCUGCCGCAAUGGGCGAAAACCUUACGGAGCAACGCCGCGUGAGUGAUGAAGGUCUUCGGAUCGUAAAACUCUGUUAUGAGGGAAGAACAAAUGUGUAAGUAACUAUGCCCGUCUUGACGGUACCUGAUCAGAAAGCCCCGGCUAACUACGUG
rnacentral:rRNA from 1 species